UGGGGAAUUUUGGACAAUGGGGGCAACCCUGAUCCAGCCAUGCCGCGUGAGUGAAGAAGGCCUUCGGGUUGUAAAGCUCUUUCGGCCGGGAAGAAAUCGCAUGGGUUAAUACCCUGUGUGGAUGACGGUACCGGAAUAAGAAGCACCGGCUAACUACGUGCCAGCAGCCGCGGUAAUACGUAGGGUGCGAGCGUUAAUCGGAAUUACUGGGCGUAAAGCGUGCGCAGGCGGUUUAGUAAGACAGAUGUGAAAUCCCCGGGCUCAACCUGGGAACUGCGUUUGUGACUGCAUCACUCGAGUACGGCAGAGGGAGGUGGAAUUCCGCGUGUAGCAGUGAAAUGCGUAGAUAUGCGGAGGAACACCGACGGCGAAGGCAGCCUCCUGGGCCAGUACUGACGCUCAUGCGCGAAAGCGUGGGGAGCAAACA
rnacentral:rRNA from 1 species